GAUGAACGCUGGCGGCGUGCCUAAUACAUGCAAGUCGAGCGAACAGACGAGGAGCUUGCUCCUCUGACGUUAGCGGCGGACGGGUGAGUAACACGUGGAUAACCUACCUAUAAGACUGGGAUAACUUCGGGAAACCGGAGCUAAUACCGGAGAAUAUAUUGAACCGCAUGGUUCAAUAGUGAAAGACGGUUUUGCGGUCACUUAUAGAUGGAUCCGCGCCGCAUUAGCGAGUUGGUAAGGUAACGGCUUACCAAGGCAACGAUGCGUAGCCGAGGUGAGAGAGGGAUAGGCCACACUGGAACUGAGACACGGACCAGACUCCUACGGGAGGCAGCAGUAGGGAAUCUUCCGCAAUGGGCGAAAGCCUGACGGAGCAACGCCGCGUGAGUGAUGAAGGUCUUCGGAUCGUAAAACUCUGUUAUUAGGGAAGAACAAAUGUGUAAGUAACUAUGCACGUCUUGACGGUAACUAAUCAGAAAGCCACGGCUAACUACGUG
rnacentral:rRNA from 1 species